rnacentral:rRNA from 1 species
CCUACGGGAGGCAGCAGUGGGGAAUAUUGGGCAAUGGGCGCAAGCCUGACCCAGCAACGCCGCGUGAAGGAAGAAGGCUUUCGGGUUGUUAACUUCUUUUUAGGGGGACGAACAAAUGACGGUACCUCUUGAAUAAGCCACGGCUAACUACGUGCCAGCAGCCGCGGUAAUACGUAGGUGGCAAGCGUUAUCCGGAUUUAUUGGGUGUAAAGGGCGUGUAGGCGGGAGCGCAAGUCAGAUGUGAAAACUCAGGGCUCAACCCUGAGCCUGCAUUUGAAACUGUGUUUCUUGAGUGCUGGGGAGGCAAUCGGAAGUCCGGGUGUAGCGGUGAAAUGCGUAGAUAUACGGAGGAACACCAGUGGCGAAGGCGGAUUGCUGGACAGGAACUGACGCUGAGGCGCGAAAGCGUGGGGAGCAAACAGGAUUAGAUACCCUAGUAGUC